UGUCUUAAAGGCCAUUUUACGAUGACAAGGUGUCUACCACUAGAAGGCAUUCCUAUCCAGAACAAACUUUCUGAACUAUGGGCAUAGAUGCCCUUCUACAUGCUAUCCGUUGUCGGGCCACUCGAUGAGCUUCUUUCUAUUUGCAAGGAAGCGGGUGAUUUGCGAGCAAAAAGAUAAUGAAGUGAAUAAGGAAAGGGCUGAGGAGCACAAGGAACAAACCUCAGUAUAAUAUAUAAUGAAGACGGGAUAGGAGGAGCAAUGACAUCCUCCAAGCUAACAAGCGUCAAGCAUCCAAUGGACUUUUCAUGUUCUAAAGAAGCUCAAUAAUGGCAUAUAUACUUGUAUACCAAGCUAGAGCACAUUUGAGUUGGACAAUCCGGUGGACAAUGGCAUGAGGAAGCCACAUGAUUUAGGCGAAGCGUAACGGACGGACUCUCAUCCUACCAUCGUCACACAUGCUUGUACUACUACAUCAAAUGGGCAAUAUAUAUGAAA